UACGGAGGGUGCAAGCGUUAUCCGGAUUCACUGGGCUUAAAGGGCGCGUAGGCGGGAUUGUAAGUCAGCGGUGAAAUCUCCGUGCUUAACAUGGAAACUGCCAUUGAUACUAUGUUUCUUGAAUUUUCUGGAGGUCAGCGGAAUAUGUCAUGUAGCGGUGAAAUGCUUAGAUAUGACAUAGAACACCAAUUGCGAAGGCAGCUGACUACAGGGAUAUUGACGCUGAGGCACGAAAGCGUGGGGAGCAAACAGG
rnacentral:rRNA from 1 species